rnacentral:rRNA from 1 species
UACGAAGGGUGCAAGCGUUACUCGGAAUUACGGGGCGGAAAGCGUGCGUAGGUGGUUUGUUAAGUCUGAUGUGAAAGCCCUGGGCUCAACCUGGGAAUUGCAUUGGAUACUGGCAGGCUAGAGUGCGGUAGAGGGUAGUGGAAUUCCCGGUGUAGCAGUGAAAUGCGUAGAGAUCGGGAGGAACAUCCGUGGCGAAGGCGACUACCUGGACCAGCACUGACACUGAGGCGCGAAAGCGUGGGGAGCAAACAGG